GACGAACGCUGGCGGCGUGCCUAAUACAUGCAAGUCGAGCGAAUGGAUGGGAGCUUGCUCCCUGAAGUUAGCGGCGGACGGGUGAGUAACACGUGGGCAACCUGCCUGUGAGACUGGGAUAACUUCGGGAAACCGGAGCUAAUACCGGAUACAUUCUUUCUUCGCCUGAAGAAAGAUGGAAAGAUGGUUUCGUCUAUCACUUGCAGAUGGGCCCGCGGCGCAUUAGCUAGUUGGUGAGGUAACGGCUCACCAAGGCAACGAUGCGUAGCCGGCCUGGGAGGGUGAUCGGCCACACUGGGACUGAGACACGGGCCAGAGUCCUACGGGAGGCAGCAGUAGGGAAUCUUCCGCAAUGGACGAAAGUCUGGCGGGGCAACGCCGCGUGAGCGAAGAAGGCCUUCGGGUCGUAGAGCUCUGUUGUUAGGGAAGAACAAGUACCAGAGUAACUGCUGGUACCUUGACGGUACCUAACCAGAAAGCCACGGCUAACUACGUGCCAGCAGCCGCCGUAACAC
rnacentral:rRNA from 1 species